GACAGUGCCGCACGUGCCAUUUGACUUCAUAUAUCAGUAUCUUCUGAAGGGUGUGUGGCCCCCUACUGUAUGUACCAAAGGGGAAAAAGCCAUCUUCCGCAAGGCAUGUAGACCCUUUGCUGUUAAGGGUGAAGAACUAUUCUACAAGAACGUGAAAAAUGACGAGACUAGAGAGAAAGUGGAGGGCCAUCUUGUUUGGUAUUACUGGGGCGCAGUCAUUGCACAUCACAAUUAGGAAGGCUCUUGUUAACCAUAUGACGACAAAAACUGAAGAGUUAAAAAGCCAUGUGCAACACCUUGAAGAACAUCUGGGCAAGUUGACAACGACCAGUGAAUGGGCAACAGAUGCUGAGCUAUUUGCAGCGACUUCACUACUUCAAACAGACAUAAUGCUGUGGCUGCAGAGAGGAGAUUGGGCCCUGUUUGGAGGAAAUGUCUUGGAAAAGUCAUGUAGUCUCAGCGAUUCGGACCUUUGUGAUAAACGUGUUAUUUACCUGCAACAUACCAACAGUAACCAUUUUGAUUAUGUCAAAGGAAUUAUGUACAUACCAACAGUAACCAUUUUGAUUAUGUCAAAGGAAUUAUGUAGAUUUAGAUCGUAGAUAUAAUUGGAUGUUAAUGAUCAUCUGCAGAGGGACAAAUAUACAAUUUAAGGUAA